CUUAUUUUAGCACCCUGCAGCCUCGCAGUGGGCAGGAGACGCCCCGCCGCCCCGAGCUGAGUUCAUCUUCCCGAAACCCCCGGAGCCGCGGGCAUCUCACCACGCUGCUCUGAGAAUAGCCCGGGAGCAACAGGGCCGGCGGCUGGUUUCUGCAUCAAUUCUCCUCCCCCUAGUAACGGCUCUGAAAACGCGGAGACACGGAGAGCAGAAAACGAAAUUUUAAUGUACUGUGGCGUGAACUUCUGGAAAAGGGUCUCCAGCACAAGAACUCAGUUCAAUGACUUAAAAUAAAUGGGCGGGGUUGGAGGGGUGGGGGCAGAAGAAACUAGCUGCUUAAGAGUAACGGGAGCACUGAAGAAGGAUUCCUGCAGAAAGCGAGCCGCCGAACAUGCUGUUUAUUGCACUUAAGGCACCUGAGCAUGUUGGUGUGGACGCGCUGGCUUGUUGAAUUUUCCUUAUUUUUCUUUUUAAAGGUAUUUUUCCCUCCUUCUUUCUCCAUGGUGACAGCCAUUUUGCCACCAGGGAAGGAAUAUGGAACACCACCUAUGAUUCUCUGCAUGGACCGUGGCUCUGCCUUCACUUCUGCUGACCCCUUUGCUCAGAAUUCAUGUAUUUGUGUUUUUCACUUGGCUGACUUCGUCUCAAAUAAAGCCAAGAAGAAUCAUCAUCUCUUCCAGGAAGGUUUCUCUACCUAUCUCCCUGUCCCGCCCUCCACCUCCUUGCCCCAGGUUUU
rnacentral:lncRNA from 1 species